AUCACUUCUCAGCCUUUUGGCUAAGAUCAAGUAUAGUAUCUGUUCUUAUCAGUUUAAUGUCUGUUACGUCCUCUGUCUGAGGACAAUAUAUUGGAUGGAUUUUUGGAGCAGGGAGUUGGAGUGGGAGCUCGUUCCAUCUACUCUACACAUUGCCCUGGUAUUGCGGUACCUCCAGGAAUGGUGCAUCAAAA
ensembl:snRNA U2 U2 spliceosomal RNA